rnacentral:tRNA from 2 species
CGCUGAAACCAUCCCGGCAGCUCGUUGGCUCAUAACCCAAAGAUCGCAGGUUCAAAUCCUGCCCCCGCAACCA